AAAAGGACAAAUCAGGAAAAUACUGUACAUAGUGCUUUAAUCGUGUUGUGUGAGGACGAAAAGCAUCCUAGCAGAAGAGGCAGCUCCGCAGAGGUGGCUAGAGAACAAGAGUCCGCAGGCCUGGUAGGAAGCAGCGAUGGCAGCAGGACCGCAAGGUCUACCAGCCCUGGGAUUCACAAGGCAGGCAGGGGCCCAAACAGGCCCGGCUCUGGCUGUUUGGCUGGUUUGUCUGUUCCCUUCAUGGCCUCGAUCAUACCUGCACCUGUCAAGGGACAUUUCCGGCUGGAGCAGACACCCAGGAGAAUCCUGGCUCUCCUGGCCUUAUCCAAUUGAAGAGGACAGCUGUCAGANCCUCCUCUCUCUCUCUCUUUCCUUUCUUGGGGAGAGUUGUUAGUAAUAUUAAUCUCUUUUUUGACCCGGUAAAAAUGCACAGAAAGAAAAAUGCUCCUAUAAACUAGUCUGUUUGCUCAAAUAUUGUCCUGAAGAAGGAUCUUCUAGAAGCCCUUCUCUCCAUAAGCUUCUCUUCCUCUCUCCCUUUCUCUUCAAUUAAUGAAGCAGAUAUUUACGGAUUUUGCCUCUUCUCUGUGUCUGGGGAGACCAAAAGGCAGCUGAUAGGAAGCUCAAGUGCAGGGGGAAGGAGGAGGGAGGGGUGGGGCAGGGGAAGAGUGGCUCCCCCGGGAGAGGGAGGCACCAGGUGAGGCUGUGUACCAGAGCCCAAGGGAGUCCCAGUGCCCUGCUUCAGGUGAUUUCACAGUGUGCACCCCCCUUGGUGCAGCCUG
rnacentral:lncRNA from 1 species